AGAGUUUGAUCAUGGCUCAGAUUGAACGCUGGCGGCAGGCCUAACACAUGCAAGUCGAGCGGAUGAAGGGAGCUUGCUCCUGGAUUCAGCGGCGAACGGGUGAGUAAUGCCUAGGAAUCUGCCUGGUAGUGGGGGAUAACGUCCGGAAACGGGCGCUAAUACCGCAUACGUCCUGAGGGAGAAAGUGGGGGAUCUUCGGACCUCACGCUAUCAGAUGAGCCUAGGUCGGAUUAGCUAGUUGGUGGGGUAAAGGCCUACCAAGGCGACGAUCCGUAACUGGUCUGAGAGGAUGAUCAGUCACACUGGAACUGAGACACGGUCCAGACUCCUACGGGAGGCAGCAGUGGGGAAUAUUGGACAAUGGGCGAAAGCCUGAUCCAGCCAUGCCGCGUGUGUGAAGAAGGUCUUCGGAUUGUAAAGCACUUUAAGUUGGGAGGAAGGGCAGUAAGUUAAUACCUUGCUGUUUUGACGUUACCAACAGAAUAAGCACCGGCUAACUUCGUGCCAGCAGCCGCGGUAAUACGAAGGGUGCAAGCGUUAAUCGGAAUUACUGGGCGUAAAGCGCGCGUAGGUGGUUCAGCAAGUUGGAUGUGAAAUCCCCGGGCUCAACCUGGGAACUGCAUCCAAAACUACUGAGCUAGAGUACGGUAGAGGGUGGUGGAAUUUCCUGUGUAGCGGUGAAAUGCGUAGAUAUAGGAAGGAACACCAGUGGCGAAGGCGACCACCUGGACUGAUACUGACACUGAGGUGCGAAAGCGUGGGGAGCAACAGGAUUAGAUACCCUGGUAGUCCACGCCGUAAACGAUGUCGACUAGCCGUUGGGAUCCUUGAGAUCUUAGUGGCGCAGCUAACGCGAUAAGUCGACCGCCUGGGGAGUACGGCCGCAAGGUUAAAACUCAAAUGAAUUGACGGGGGCCCGCACAAGCGGUGGAGCAUGUGGUUUAAUUCGAAGCAACGCGAAGAACCUUACCUGGCCUUGACAUGCUGAGAACUUUCCAGAGAUGGAUUGGUGCCUUCGGGAACUCAGACACAGGUGCUGCAUGGCUGUCGUCAGCUCGUGUCGUGAGAUGUUGGGUUAAGUCCCGUAACGAGCGCAACCCUUGUCCUUAGUUACCAGCACCUCGGGUGGGCACUCUAAGGAGACUGCCGGUGACAAACCGGAGGAAGGUGGGGAUGACGUCAAGUCAUCAUGGCCCUUACGGCCAGGGCUACACACGUGCUACAAUGGUCGGUACAAAGGGUUGCCAAGCCGCGAGGUGGAGCUAAUCCCAUAAAACCGAUCGUAGUCCGGAUCGCAGUCUGCAACUCGACUGCGUGAAGUCGGAAUCGCUAGUAAUCGUGAAUCAGAAUGUCACGGUGAAUACGUUCCCGGGCCUUGUACACACCGCCCGUCACACCAUGGGAGUGGGUUGCUCCAGAAGUAGCUAGUCUAACCGCAAGGGGGACGGUUACCACGGAGUGAUUCAUGACUGGGGUGAAGUCGUAACAAGGUA
rnacentral:rRNA from 1 species